rnacentral:tRNA from 1 species
GCUGUGAUGGCCGAGUGGUUAAGGCGUUGGACUUGAAAUCCAAUGGGGUCUCCCCGCACCGGUUCAAAUCCUGUUCACAGUG